UACAGAGGUCUCAAGCGUUGUUCGGAUUCAUUGGGCGUAAAGGGUGCGUAGGUGGCGCGCUAAGUCAGGUGUGAAAUUUCGGAGCUUAACUCCGAAACUGCAUUUGAUACUGGCGUGCUUGAGGACUGGAGAGGAGACUGGAAUUCAUGGUGUAGCAGUGAAAUGCGUAGAGAUCAUGAGGAAGACCAGUGGCGAAGGCGGGUCUCUGGACAGUUCCUGGCACUGAGGCACGAAGGCCAGGGGAGCAAACGGG
rnacentral:rRNA from 1 species